rnacentral:lncRNA from 1 species
GAAAAGUAUGGAAGAAAAUAACCCAAAAUGUUAUCAGUUGUCUUAACAGAUUUUAUGAUGGUGUUAUUCUUCUUGAUGUACACAAGAUUAUUUUUGAACUAUAUGGCAAACAUCAUUCUUUUUUAAUUUUUUUUUUUUAGAGACUAAGGUGUCAGUAUGUUCUUCAAGCUGCUCUGCUCCUGGGCCCAAGCUAUUCUCCUGCCUCAGCCUUCCAAGAAGCUGAAACUACAAGAACACAAGACUGUACCUGGCUUGCAAACACCAUUGCUAAUAAGAAGAUAUUGUAAGACUGAUACCUAAGAGAUAAGAGGUAACACACACACACACACAUGCAGGCACACACACACACACACACUCAAGUCACAAGAAGAAGCUGAAAAAUAUUUAAUGGCAUAGGAACAUGUGGAAAUAUAAAUUAUUCACUGUUAAACAGGACUCCAUCUCAAAAAAAAAAAAAGAAAGAAAGAGAGAGAAAGAAAGAAAGAGAGAGAGAGAGAGAGAGAGAAAGGUCAUACUUAGAUACAAUAGAUUAAAAGUCAAAAACUGUAAAGAGAGGCAAAGAAGGUCACUGUAUAACAAUGAAAAUGCCAAUACAGCAAGAGGAUAUAACAAUUGUAUAUAUGUAUGUACCCAACACUGGAACACAGAAAUAUAUAAGGCAAACAUUUGAAGAUCUAAACAGAGUGAUAGAAUGGCGUACAACAACACUGGGAGACUUCAGUACUCCACUUUCAGUAAUGGACAGCUUAAUUAGACAAAGAAACAUUGAAAUUAAACUGUUCUCUAGACCAAAUGAACUUAACUGACCUUUACAAAAUAUUUCAUCCAAUUGCUAUAGAAUAUACAUUCUUGUCAUCAGCAUAUGGAACAUUCUCCAGUAUAGAGCAUAUGUUAGGCCACAGAACAAGGCUAAACAAAUUUAAGAAAAGACCCGAAAAUAUGAAAUUACUAGAAUAAGAGCCUGGGGAAAUGCUUUAAGACAUUGUUCUGGGGAAAGAUUUUUUGUAUAAGAUCUGAAAAGCACUGGCAAUCAAAGCGAAAAUAGACAAAUGAGAGUAAAUCAAGCUAGAAAGCUUCUGCACAGCAAAGAAAACAACAAAGUGAGGAGACAACCUACAGAAAGAGAGAAUAUCUUAGCAAACUAUUGAUCUAACAAUGGAAUAACAAAUCACAAUGUAAAACAAACUCAGCUCAAUAACCAAAAACCAAAUUAUCUGAUUUACAAAUGGGCAAAUGAUCUGAAUAGGCAUUUCUGAAACAAAGACACAAAUGGCCAACAGAUAUAUGAAAAUACGUUAAACAUCACUAACCGUCAGGGAAACGCAAAUCAAAACCAUGUGAGAUACCAUAUUACCCCAGUUCAAAUGGCUCUUACUAAAAAGACAGAGAAUAACAGUUGCUGGCUAGGAAGCAAAGAGGAAUGCUUGUAUACUGUUGCUGUAAAUGUAUAUUAAUACAGCCACUAUGGGACAUAGGAUGGAGUUUCCCCAAAAAGCUAAAAAUAGAGUUACCGUAUGAUGCAGCAAUCCCGCUGCUGAGUAUAUAUUCAAAAGAAAGGAAACCAGUACAGCAAAGAGAUAUAUGCAUUGCCAUGUUUAUUGCAUCAUUAUUCACAAUAGCAAAGAUAUAGAAUCAACCUAAGUGUUCACUGACGGAUGAAUGGAUUAAGAAAAUGUGACAUACAUAUAAAAAGGAAGAUUAUUGAGCCAGAAAAAGGAAUAAAAUCCUGUCAUCUGCAGCAACAUGAAUGGAACUGUAGGACACUACGUUAAGUGAAAUAAGCCAGAUGCAGAAAGACAAAUUAUCACAUGUCCUUACUCAUGUGCAGGAGCUGAAAGAAUCCAUCUCAUGGAACUAUAGAGUAGAAUGGUGGAUACCAGAAGUUAGGAAAGGAGGGGAAUGAAGAGAGGUUGGUUAAUGGCUACAAAAAUACAGUUGGACAGAAGGAGUAAGUUCUAGUGUUCAAUAGCAUACUUAGGGCGACCAUAGUUAGCAAUAAUUUAAUGCUUAUUUCCAAAUACCUAAAAGAACAUUUGAAAUGUUUCCAACACAAACAAAUAAUAAAUGCAUUAGGUGAUGAGUAUCCCAGUUAUCCUUUUUUGGUUAUCACACAUUUUGUGGAUGCAUGAAAAUAUAUGUACUACAUAAAUAUGUACAAUUAUAUGCAAAUUUUAAAAAUAGGCAAAGCUCUUAAAUAUACAAUUCUCCAAAGAAGAUAUACAAAUAGCCAACAGUUCUAUGAAAGAUGCUUCCAUUAUUAGUCUUUUCAGAAACGUAAAUCAAAACCACCUGAUGGUACCAAUUAACACCCACUAGAAUGGGAAUUACUUAAAAAGAACAAAUAUCAGUGGAGAGGUGGAGAAGUUAGAACUCUUCUAGAGUGUUGGUGGAAAUGCUAAAUUGUGCACCUGCUACAGAAAGCAGUUUAUCAGUACUUCAAAAAUUUAAACAUAGAAGGAACCAUAUGAGCUAGCAACUCUACUCCUAUGUAUACACCACAUAUGAUUGAAAACAAAUACUCAAACAAGUACUUUUAUAUACUCACUGUAUAUAUUUAUUAACAAUACCCAAAAGGUGAA